GGAGGCUUUGCCAGCCUGGGC
rnacentral:miRNA from 1 species